UAUCGCAUUAGGGUUUCAUCUUCUUCUUCAAUACGCUUCUACAUCUCUAUCUCAAAUCGAUGACAAGAUUUCAUCUUCUUCCCUAAGAUUCAUCGGUUUUCAUCUCUCAAUUUAGGGUUUCGACUACAUAUUUCUUAUAAUCCGAAGAACACACAACCUUCAUUCGCGUCUAGGGUUUCUGUUUCUUCCAUCAUACAUCUCCUUCUCAUCAUCCCUAAAUCUCAUUCCUGAAAGAUCAUCAAUACCAAGAUCAUAAGUACGAAUCCCUCCUCACCUCUAAAGUCGGCAUCUACUUGGUUUUGCGAUAAAGGGCUCCGAUUUGCAAUGUAAUUGGUGCUUAAGAUUCUGAUUCCAUCAAUCUUGCCUAAAAUCUGGUGUGUUCUUCGAUCUCAACAGAGGUUAGGUUUGCUACAUGUUGAUAAUUAUCAAAUCAAUGUUGUUUCUAUAAUUUCUGGUAAAAUCCUAUCAGUUGUUUGUUGUACGAAAUUCAUCUCAUACAUCUUAUUCCAUUCAAUUUAUUUAAUCUCAGUAUAUAAAUGAUCUUAAAUUUUUAGAUGAUCGAAAAGUAAUAUCCAAAUCUUAUGUGAUGAGAUUUAAGCUAAACCCUAAUUAAAACAUUAUUUGCUGUUUUUUGAUUUCUUAGUUUGAUGUGUAAUAAGAGGUUAAAGGGCAUUUGUUUGGAUUGUAAAUAAAUAAACAAAAAAGGGUGAUUUUGCUUGCGUCGUCAACUAUUAUGUGGUUUAUUACAUUCUUAUAAAAAUCACAAAUAUAUCUCUAAAGGCUGAUGAAAGAGAUGUUUAUGAGUUCUUCUCAAAGGCUGGCAAGGUAUUUGAAUCAUUCGGCACGGUAGAGCUGGUGCAGUUACCUACUGAUGAGACCUGGAAUUGUAAAGGUUUUGGUUUUGGUUUUAUUCAGUUGAGAAUGUCAGGGUUGCACAGAGUUUGAACGAACAGCUGGAGAUUGCAGGUCGAAUGAUGAAGGUAUAAGUCUCUCAAAGACCUAAAAGGUGUGAUAUUGAAGCGUCACACUGAUUUCAGAGACACGGCUUCUGGGUGUUGGGAACUUUUAUAGUGGAGUGGGAUGAAGGAAGAGCGAUUGUCGAGCAGUUUUCGGCGACAAUGAUAGAUGCGAAGAUGUAUGCUGAGCGUUUCGCUGAGCUUGCUGAUAAAUUGGGCUUUGAUGGGUGGUUGGUAAUUCCAUACAUCAUAUGGUUAAAGAUUUAACUUAUAGAAUUUGGAGUUAAGUGUUUUGAACGAGAUAUUUGAGAUAGUGGACAACCACAUAGAUGAGGGAUCAUUGUUAAUCCCGACAACCGGGCUUGAUAUGAGCGAACUGCCUAGCCUCAUUGUUUAGUUUGUUAAACUUAUUGAGUAUUUGAAAAAAAAUUAUAAAGAUGACAAGGAUGAAGUUGUAAUUGUGUUACUUAACAUGUUGGAGGUGGUGACGAGAGACAUAAUAGUAAACGAGUUAAUUUCUAGGUAUAGUGACGUAGUAUCCUUGAUCUCUUUAGUUAAUUAACAUUUUUUAAUGGAAAACUUUUUGUCCCACAUACAUUUUGAUGGAAUCAACUCAUGCUGGUGCUUAUGGAAAUGACGAAGGACCACAAGAUAAAAACUAUCAAUAAUUCUUUGCGGCUCUUAAUUUUCCCGUUACACAAAACGUAGAAGCAUCAAAGAGAAAAAAUAUAAUCCGUGUAUGUCAAAGUGGUCAACGAUUUCUUUUUUCAAGCAUCCGAAUAUUUAAAUCAUGAUCGUCAUUUACUCGAGAUAAGAAAGCUACAUCUUCUGCUGACUGAAAAAGAAUCUGCUAUGGAUGUGCCAUCAAACAUGGAAGCCAGAAGGUGUAUUUCUUUCUUCUCAAAUUCACUGUUUAUGGACAUGCCUGCAGCACCCAAAGUUCAAAACAUGAUAUCUUUCUCGGUUUUUACGCUAAAAUCAUCAUCGGCGAUUUUCGCCAUGCUAAUAUCUUCCGAUUAACAUCUGACCAAAUCAUGUAUGUAUUUUUUCGGUUUGCUGGUGUUAUUCGUCAUUAGUUGUUGCUCAAUUGAUGCUCUUCAUAUUGUUAUGGUUUUUGAAAGCAUCUGGUAGAUUGGAUUGAAGAUAUACACCGAAUACUUUGUGAUUAAUUUUGUAUAGGCAUUUGAUAGGUUUCUUCAUAGUUUUUGUCAUUGGCAGUUUGGAGUUUGAUGAACAAGGAUAAGGUAGAAUCAUUGGUCUCGAGUUGUUUCUCAGUUCAAGAGCCCUAAUCUCUUGGAUCACUAUUGGAAGCCUAAGAGCAAUCAGGUGGAAACCUGGUCAUUGGUCGUUUUGUGUCACUGGGCAGCCUCACAACACGAGGCUCAUGGAGAAAGCAUAAUGUCAUUAGUGUUGAAGAUGGUUACGGGAGAGAGAUUAGUUGCAACGUUUGACCGAAGUCUCACAACACGAGGCUCAGGGAGAAAGCAUGGAACAUGUAUUUACAGUGGGAUUGUUGCAAGGAGACAUUCGGUGUUGCAAUUGCAAAAAGACAAAGGGCAGACAAAAGGAGUAUGCAGAAUUCGGACACAUGCCACGCAAGCGAUUCUCUAAUUUUUAUGUCUCUCAUUUUCUAUCUAAAUCUCUACAUCGCUCAAUGAGGAUCGAAGCAUAUAUGUGCCACUGCUCCGGUAUUGGUUUACCCAUCGGCAAACAUAUCGUGCCCAAUACACCUAUUUUUGUCAGGCCUUUCAGAUUGUUUGAUGUGAUGAACUGGGCCAGAAGCGGCUGGGGAUGUUUUGGAUGACCAAUGAUGGAACAGAAACUAUGGUUUGAUGGAAGUACAAACCUGAUAUGUGAUUUUUCCAACAUGAGCAGGCGUUGAACAUUGGAAGACGGUUCAUUUAUGAUCGAGAAAACGCUUUCUGUACAAUCGAGGUGUGUAUUCUAAAGAAAGUUUUGGAAGAGUGAAGAAAUAUGGACUUCCAUUGUUGCUAUUUCAAGGUGAAGGUGUAAAGCUUUAUUCCAGCUUGAAUCAAAUAAACAUUGUUUGGUCAAGGACCGCAUGCCUACUGAGGCAGAGACUACAGGGCUUAUGUGGACUAGGAGUUGAUAUUUUAUGUUAUUCGUAAGCUAAUAUUGAAAUCCAAUGUCAUUAUGCAUAUCAAAAUAUACCGUGUUUGUGUGUUUCAAAGGUUGGUGACAUUGGUGGUGUUAAAGCCUUGGAGAAUUCAUUAUAGUUUUUUAGUUU